UGAUCUUUUUAAAUAAUACAUUCAUUGUUUAUCUCUUUACCCUAGAAUACAAACUCUUUGAAAGCAAAGAUUUUGUUGUCUCACUUGCCAAUGAAUAUCCUCCAUUGCCUAGAACAAUGCAUGACACAAACAUCUGAAAACCUCCCAAAGUUACUAGAAUCAGAAGAAAGGAAAGAGAUGGAGGUGAUAGGAAGAGAUCCUGGAGGUAAUGAGCUAGAAGAAGACUGUGUGCCAUGAUGGGCCUCACAAACUCCCCAGGUUUGCUUGUUCGAUGUCACAUAAGGAGGCUGAUGAUUGAGAAGAUCUGAGAGUGACCCGAGGAUCCAAGGGUGGGUGUCAGCAAGAAGCCCAGAGAGAAGCAGAUAGCUUCCAUCAUUCCUGUUGUGAGGGUGUUUGCAUUACUUCUCCUCUAACCUUAUGCUUGAAGCAACAAUCAUGGUAGAUUGCCUUAUUCUGUUCCAUUAAGAACUGAAGCAUGUAAUAAAUCAAAUUCCAUAGUGACA
rnacentral:lncRNA from 12 species